CUAAGGAUGUUAUAUUUAAUGUGAAAAUUUUGAUAAAGUGUGUGUUUUAGGUAGGACCUGAUAAUAAAUUACUUAAUGAAUUAAUGUAAACUCAGUGUAAACCAGAGAAGUCCCGAAUGACCUUUUGGUAUCCUGCUUCUAUCCCGUUUGCUUUCUCCGUACGUCUCGGUUACCCUACAAUCUUCCCAGCAUUACUCAAUCCAAAACCACUUUUCAUUGUUGGGAAGAGUUUCCCAUAAAGUCCCCCAAUUAAUUCCUGUUUUCUUUCAUUCCCUGCCCACAUUACCUCUUGUAAAUGAUCAGUUAUCUCAGAGCUGGAACAGUGGGAGGGGGAGAAACCGCAGGAAUGCAUUGCUCUGCUGUCCUGCCCGGUUUCAGCCAACGUGUCCUCUGCCAGUGAUGAGACUACAGGCUUGGGGAUUUGGGCUUCGUUUACUUCUGCAAAAAACCUUGAGUGAAGGCCUACUGCUUGCCGGACAUUUUAUAGGAAUCUCUGUACCUAACAUGGGGCUCGAACUCACUACGCAAGAAUCUCACGCUCCACUGGCUGAGCCAGCCAGGCGCUCCAAAGCUCUCACGCCUUCAAGCAGAAUGUGUCCACCCUCUGCUUUUUUAAAGUUUGCCUUAUGCCGCUUCACUUUCACGAAAGAUCUACAUUGGUACCUGUUUUUGCUAACUGAAAGAAAUCUAAAGAGGAUUUUCACUUUUCCAAAAAAAAGGGUGCAAAGCAAAAAUUGCUUUCAGCGUUUGUUUUGCGGUGAAUGGUUAUAGAGGCAGCGCGAACCCCAACAGCGAGAGUGGCCUUGCUAAGCUCUUUCCCUGGAACGACACCCAGCAUCUUUGCAUCAAGCCACCAUAGCUCUGAACUCUGUCUGUGAGCAUCCACACUCUAUCUCGACUUACUGUGUGUAUCUACUAGCAAGACGUGUCCCAAGGUUUCAGAAAAGCCUCAGAGAUUAUUUUUUUGUGUCUGGGAACACUUGGAAAAAUUUCCGUAUAAAUUAAUGGUAAUCGCUUCUUCAGUUUAUGCCAUUUCAGCCUACAAAAGCGUUCAUUGGGCAUGCUCUGUUUUCAAAUACUGGGGGAAACCUGUAUUUUAUUUUAUUUUUUUUAACGUUUAUUUAUUUUUUGAGAGAUACAGAGAUAGAGUAUGAGCGGGGGAAGGGCAGAGAGAGUGGGAGACACAGAAUCUGAAGCAGGCUCCAGGCUCCCAGCUGUCAACACAGAGCCCGAUGCCGGGCUCCAACUCACUAACCGUGAGAUCAUGACCUGAGCCGAAGUCGGACGCUUAACGACUGAGCCACCCAGGCACCCCUGUAAAACCUGUAUUUUAAAAAUGAUUCAAAGACACGCAUUUUUGUUGGGUGGUAUGCCAACAUUAUUUUAAUGACUCUUAGCAAAAAAUUAAAAAUAAUAUUACCUACUCUAGUAUCUGUUACAUUUAUUUGCUAUCUUCUUUUAGUUCAAAAUUGAAAGAGAAUUCAUCUCCAAGAGACUUCUUAAAAGGUUUUUGUCAUUAAUAAAAACAAAAAUGAUUUCAUCUGUUCAAAGUUUUGUCAAGAUUUAAUACUCUGAAUUUCUAUCAAUUUAUUUGCUUUCUUUAUUGCACAAGAGUCUUUUUGAAUAAGAAAAAGGGAAAUUCAUGUCUCAAUUCACUUAUAUUCUCAUAUUUCUUUUGACAUUAUUGAGAAAAGAAAGAUGCAAGGAGCUUAUUGUUCAGAGAAGCUGGAAACAGAUGAAUUUCCUUUUAUGGUGAACGCUCAAAGGAUGAUUGAGUAAAGAGGUGCUGGCAAUGGCCUCUUGCUCAUCAAGCAUGGAACAGUUUUGAGUAGCCCAGGAAUGGAACUGGACAGACUUCAAUUCUGCUUCCUACUUCCUGUAGCAUGUUGGGCAAGUACCCAGCACCCCUGACCUUCCCUUUUUUUACUUGCAGUAGUAGGAUAGUACUUAACUCAUCAAGUAGUUCUGAAAAUUAAGCUAAAUGAUAUACUAUAUCUAGAGAACUUAGUAGAUCUUAUCAUUUUUGACAAUAGGUGAAUAUAAUCAAAAGCAAGCUUCUAGACCCUUCCUUAAGAAGAAAUUAUUUUCUGCUUAGGUUAUUUAUAAUUAUCAGUUUAUCUUGUUAGAAAAGCAGCUGGAUAUUAUUAAUAUGGAUAAUCCUUCCUAUAGCACAGUUUGGUUAGCUGCUGGGAAAAUUUAAGGAUAAUAAGAGUAUUUAGAGUUCAUAAGAUUCAGUGCGUUCAAAGACGGUAGAUUAAAAAAAAAAAAAGUGUCCCUCAAGCCUUUCUAUUUUCUCCAACAUGAAGAAUUGUGCAUAUUCUUGGUGACCAUCUUAGGCAGAAAAAGUCAACUAGCAGAAAACAUCAUAGAAACACAUCAUACCCUCUUAGGGCACAUGUGUGUAAGUUUUGUAAUUAUAAAAAUAAUAAAAUAUUUUUACUUAGGUAAUACUUGCAUCCAUUUAUCCCUUCUUUGGGAUCAUGUCUUAUUAACUUUUGUGUAAUAAUAAUGAUUAUCAAUAUUAAUAUUCUUGCUGAGGGGCGCCUGGGUGGCUCAGUCAGUUGGGCGUCCAACUUUGGCCCAGGUCAGGAUCUCAUGUUCGUGGGUUCGAGCCCUGCAUUGGGCUCUGUGCUGACAGCUCAGAGCCUGGAGCCUGCUUUGAAUUCUGUGUCUCCCUGUCUUUCUGCCCCUUCCCUACUCACACUCUGUUUCUCUCUGUCUCUCAAAAAUAAAUAUUGAAAAAAAAAUUUAAAAAAUUAUUCCUGCUGAAUUAAAUAAAUGAGUAAGUAGGUAAAUGGGUACAGAGGUGAAUACUAUCCUCUAAGGCCACCCUUAGACAUAUUUCCUAUUAACAGAAACAAUGCAAUUUGCCUCCACACCUUAGUGACUAAUUAAAAAUACCAGUUUUCCUCUGUCUCCACUAAUGCCAGGAAGAACUAUUUUUUAUUUAUUCAUACCUGUAUGAUCCCUUC